AGAGUUUGAUCCUGGCUCAGGAUGAACGCUAGCGGCAGGCUUAAUACAUGCAAGUCGAGGGGCAGCAUGACUGUAGCAAUACAGUUGAUGGCGACCGGCAAACGGGUGCGGAACACGUACACAACCUUCCUUUAAGCGGGGAAUAGCCCGGGGAAACCCGGAUUAAUACCCCAUAGUAAAUCGAAAAGGCAUCUUUUUGAUUUUAAAGAUUUAUCACUUGAAGAUGGGUGUGCGGCUGAUUAGGUAGUUGGCGGGGUAACGGCCCACCAAGCCUACGAUCAGUAACUGGUGUGAGAGCACGACCAGUCACACGGGCACUGAGACACGGGCCCGACUCCUACGGGAGGCAGCAGUAAGGAAUAUUGGUCAAUGGACGAAAGUCUGAACCAGCCAUGCCGCGUGGAGGAUGAAGGUCCUCUGGAUUGUAAACUUCUUUUAUAUGGGACGAAAAAAGGCUUUUCUAAGUCGUCUGACGGUACCAUAUGAAUAAGCACCGGCUAACUCCGUGCCAGCAGCCGCGGUAAUACGGAGGGUGCAAGCGUUAUCCGGAUUCACUGGGUUUAAAGGGUGCGUAGGUGGGCUGGUAAGUCAGUGGUGAAAUCUCCGAGCUUAACUUGGAAACUGCCAUUGACACUAUCAGUCUUGAAUAUUGUGGAGGUCAGCGGAAUAUGUCAUGUAGCGGUGAAAUGCUUAGAUAUGACAUAGAACACCAAUUGCGAAGGCAGCUGGCUACGCAUAUAUUGACACUGAGGCACGAAAGCGUGGGGAUCAAACAGGAUUAGAUACCCUGGUAGUCCACGCCCUAAACUAUGGAUACUCGACAUACGCGAUACACAGUGUGUGUCUGAGCGAAAGCAUUAAGUAUCCCACCUGGGAAGUACGAUCGCAAGAUUGAAACUCAAAGGAAUUGGCGGGGGUCCGCACAAGCGGUGGAGCAUGGGGUUUAAUUCGAUGAAUA
rnacentral:rRNA from 1 species